CAUAAGUGAAUUUUUUAUGUUUAGACUUGGGACCCAUCCCCAAGAUAUCAUUACAUAUUUGCAAAUAUUCUAACAUUCAGAAUUUGAAACACUUCUGGUCUCAAGAAUUUCAGAUAAGGUAUACUUAACUGCAUUUAUUGCUAGCCAGCAUUUUGUUAGACACAACAACUGAACUUUCUUUUCUUUUUUUUUUUUUUUACUGGGGAUUGAACUCAAGACCUUGUGCUUGCGAGGCAAGCGGCAGAACCACUGAGCUAAAUGCCUGGCCCUGAACUUUCUUUUCUGCAAAGAAUAGGCUCUUACAUCUUUUGUGGGCAUAUAAACAAUUUUAAUAUUCUCUGUCCAGUUGGUUUAUUUUGA
rnacentral:lncRNA from 1 species